UUCAAUGAAGCACUUAUUCUUUGCAAACUUCGAAUUUUCAUGACGAUUUGUGGAUUUAAUGAUUCAUUCGAUAUUUCAUGUUAUUUUGCAAUUAUGUGUCUUCAUCUCACUUAGCCUGCAAAACAUUCUGCACUUAGUUUUCAUACAAAAUAAUUAAAUGGUUUCUGAAAGUGUAUCUUUACUCUCCUUUGGCUAUGUAAGUUUACCAUCCGUCAAACAAAAUCUUUCUGUUUGGAGUGUCCCUCUUUUGACAUUGAAGUCCUUUUUUUUUUUCCUGGUUAAAAAGGGUCCAAGAGGCAGAAGGUAUAAUCAUUGUUGUAGUACGCAAUACCUUGAUGUUAUGGUAUUUAGAUCAAAUGCAAGUUCUCUUAUGUUCCAAUAGUAUCUGAGAGUUCAUAUUAACUGCAUGCAUACUAGGGCAGCUUACCUGCUCUUAAGUUAUCUUUCCUUUAUUUGAUAAUUUUUAUUCUGUUUCCAAAAAAGUGGAGAAACAGACAAAUUUGGAGUUAGUCGACCUUUCUCUUCUAUUCUGAUUAUUUUGCUUCAUUACAGGAUGAUACUGCAUUUGAAAAGCAAAGUUCUCUUUUCAGCCUUGCUGUUUCUGACAUAGUGCUGAUAAAUAUGUAAGAUUGUUUUGUUGGUUCAAAAAUCAUGUUUAUAACUAUUAAAAUGUAAUGAAGAUGUUUGGGCUUGUUAUAUUGUUUAUUUGAAUAAAACCUACACAAUUCAGGUGGUGUCAUGACAUAGGUCGUGAGCAGGCUGCAAAUAAGCCACUCUUAAAAACUGUAUUCCAGGUAACUUGUGCACUUGCUCUGUACAGGCAAUAAUUGGAAAUAUUAAUGUCUUACUGAUUUAUCUUUAUGAUUAACAGAUCAUGAUGAGAUUAUUUAGUCCACGCAAAACCACUUUGAUGUUUGUCAUAUGUGAUAAAACAAGGGUAUGUUCACCCUCUUCAACUUUUUUAUGAUUCCGUUGAAUGUGGUUUAAAAACUUAAUUUGAUCCUAUGGAAUGAUCCUUUGAUCUGACAGAGCAUUUUUUUCCUUAUAGACGCCUUUGGAAAAUCUAGACCCUGUUUUAAGGGAAGACAUUCAGAAGGUGCACCAUAUGGUGACUUAUUACUGUAUUAUUAUUAUAUUUUAAUGUGAUUGACUGCUAACCUUCAGUCUCUCACUGUAUCACUGACCCUUUUCUGAAGAUAUGGGAUGGGAUUCCCAAGCCUCAAGCUCACAAAAAGACUCCAUUAAGUGAAUUUUUUAAUGUAAGUUGCUAACUUGUUGAAUAACCCUAUCACGUAUUUACCUUGACGUUAUAUAACAUCUUCUUAAAUGAUUGAAUGGCAGGUUGAAGUUGUGGCUCUUUCCAGUUUUGAAGAGAAGGAAGAACAAUUUAAAGGGCAGGUUCUGGUUCUCAUUGAAUUCUUUAAAAUGACACUCAUGUUUUUGGAUGUCAUCAAUAUUUCCACGUAGUUCAACAGUAAGGAUUAUUGUUGCAGAAAGUAAUUGGAAAUUUUAUUUAUUUAUCUAUUGAGUGGGUUAUAUAUUGGCUUUUAAUGCUCAAAGAUGUAUCAUAUCCACACGAUUUGUUUCUGAAAUUAGUAGUUCAAUACAAGCAAUGUUUAUGGUAAUGAUAAUGCAAUUGCUGUACUUGUCGAUUCAGAUAAAAGUGACGGAUGUUGUUCAACUCACCUAAUAGAUGGAGAUGGUAAUUUCAAUGUUGAUGGAAUGGAUAAUUUCAUGAAGGAAGUUAAACUCGCUGAGUGUGGACUUUCUUAUGCCAUCGUCUCCAUCAUGGGCCCUCAAAGCAGUGGUAUGAAUUUUUAGCUGUAAAGAUACUCCUUUGCUGUAUUAUCAAUUUGGCUUUUACCGGACUCUGGGAGGCUCAAUAAACAUUUAUUCUUAAACUUAAAACCCUUUACUUGAGUCCUCCUUUUUCUACUAGCAUCCACUUCUUUGGGGCAUUUAAUUUGGGUAUCUUAGCAACCUAAAGAUUCCUGUUCCUUAACUUGUCAAUGUUGUGCACAUUUCUUAGUCUAUGCCUACUUUUAAAUUUCUUCUGUGAUUUUGACAGGGAAGAGUACAUUGUUAAACCACCUAUUUGGUACUAAUUUUAAGGAGAUGGAUGCUUUCAAGGGGAGGCAUGUACUACUUCUUACCUCUGAUGUUACUUCUUUUUUGCCUGCUAAUAAAUCGAAGCCUACUGACACAAAUUUCCUCAGGUCUCAAACUACAAAAGGUAUUUGGAUGGCAUGUUGUGUUGGGAUUGAACCUUGCACUCUUGUCAUGGAUUUAGAGGGCACUGAUGGAAGAGAACGAGGAGAGGUUUCAAUGAAGCACUUAUUCUUUGCAAACUUCGAAUUUUCAUGACGAUUUGUGGAUUUAAUGAUUCAUUCGAUAUUUCAUGUUAUUUUGCAAUUAUGUGUCUUCAUCUCACUUAGCCUGCAAAACAUUCUGCACUUAGUUUUCAUACAAAAUAAUUAAAUGGUUUCUGAAAGUGUAUCUUUACUCUCCUUUGGCUAUGUAAGUUUACCAUCCGUCAAACAAAAUCUUUCUGUUUGGAGUGUCCCUCUUUUGACAUUGAAGUCCUUUUUUUUUUUCCUGGUUAAAAAGGGUCCAAGAGGCAGAAGGUAUAAUCAUUGUUGUAGUACGCAAUACCUUGAUGUUAUGGUAUUUAGAUCAAAUGCAAGUUCUCUUAUGUUCCAAUAGUAUCUGAGAGUUCAUAUUAACUGCAUGCAUACUAGGGCAGCUUACCUGCUCUUAAGUUAUCUUUCCUUUAUUUGAUAAUUUUUAUUCUGUUUCCAAAAAAGUGGAGAAACAGACAAAUUUGGAGUUAGUCGACCUUUCUCUUCUAUUCUGAUUAUUUUGCUUCAUUACAGGAUGAUACUGCAUUUGAAAAGCAAAGUUCUCUUUUCAGCCUUGCUGUUUCUGACAUAGUGC
rnacentral:lncRNA from 1 species